GAAAAGUUGCGUCUCGUCUCGUCAAUCCAGACGAGAAACCCUUUAAUGCAAUCGCCGAAAGGUAAAAAUCUAAAAAAAAAUACAUCCUAACAGUAAAAAAAAAAAGACGUAGAAAAAAAAAGGCAGCGAGGUCAUUGUCCUCGCAUAUUUUCCGCCCUUGGCACUGAACGAGAGGGAAAAACCAUCUACCCUAUUGACCGUAGGCAUAGGAGGAGGAAGGGACCGGAUAGUCACGUGACUGACGCAAAGGGGGACGGAAUCACGUGACAUGACUGUCUGGUCACGUGGGUUGUAGUAUAGCCUCAGCCAUUGCGGAGGUCAUUGACUGUCUGGGAUUGGGAGUUGACGGGAAGUCGCUAGGACAAUUGCAGUUCGGGCAGGGUGGACGGACGAGCUGUACCUGAGUUCGAAAGAUGUAACCAGAUGAUCGGGAUCGCCAUACUUAUAAAAGGAUCCAUUCCGAAAUGAAUCUAUACGAGGGAUUCAACGUUAUAAAGAAAUGAGUUAAAAAAAAAAACUAAAAAAAGGGACUAAAUAAAAAAAAUAUGGAACGAAACAGAAACAGAGAGUUAUGAUAAUGGAAUAGAUUUAUCCUCGUCCCGUUAUCUUCGAUCCUCCGGAGAGGAUGAGAUGAAGACCACAUUAAAUUAGAGAUGCCAAGAAGCCAAAUAUGCACGAGAGAACGCAUUACGGAAUAGUUAACGUCUUGGAGAAUGUAUUUGUUUUGUCCGUUCGGAUAGAGUAGAAUUUUUAAAAUUAACUGUUUAAAAAAAAAAAGCUAUGUUAUGGAAACCAGUACAAAGCUCAAUUGAAACAGGUUUUAAUUCUAUGUGACAAUAUUUAUUAUGGCAAAAUUUAAAAAAAAAGUAGACAAUUCGCAAAAGUUUUUGUGUUUUGAAUUUGUGUAAAUUACAAACUGAAUUGUCUAUGGCCGUAAAUUGCUUUCGCUGUAAUGUUAGAGGAUGUACAACUUCAUACAAAAUUUAUACAAGAUGUUUAUAUGAUCCUGUUUUAAUUGAGAAUCAAUUUUUAUUUGAAAAGUAUUUUCAGAAAUAGGACAAAUAAUCAUUCAUGGUGCUAAACAGCCUUAUGAUCUGUCUCUCAUCUUAUAUCAAUAUCAAACUGUGUCCAGAAUAAUGCAUCAUAUAUUCUCAUUUUCUGCUCAAAAGCAAUUGAAUCUCUUACAAAACAGGACAUAAAAAAAUCUGAUCUUAAGUGCUGGUUUCUUAGAUAAAUUUAACUCAAUCUUGUCUGUAGAAAUCUUAAAAAUUCUUAUAGUUAACAGAAAAAUAGCAGUUUUAUAUUGUUUAAUUGCCAUUUAUGCAAAUUUAAGUAAUAGUCAAUAAUGUUGUUAAGUCUUUUAGUGAUCAGAACAGUUUAAAUCUUGAUCCUUUAAUGUGCUGUAGAGCUGUGAAAAUGUCUAAAUUGAGAAAUAUUGACUUAUUAUAACAUCGUUUUUAUUAAAAAAUGUCUGUUUUAGGUAUUUCUUUAUAUCUUUCUAUAUUACAUUGUUGGCUGAAUGCCCAGUGUGUCAGGCUACUUCCGUACAUGAUGUUUUAAAUCAAUAAUAAUUUAUCCGGGCAAGAACAGAAGUUAAAACAUUUUAAUGACGUAAGUAUCAUUCCAAAGAGACGUUUCGACCGCAUUAAGUUAUUGUAAUUAUUUUUUCUGUAAUUAAUUUAUCUCUUGAAUCCGAAGAACGUAAACGUCCGUAUGCAAUUAAUCUGCUGUGUUUAAUUAAUUCAUAUAUAUAUAUAUAGCAGGUUUAUUAUUUAAACUUUUGUAUAUAAUGUAUGUAUUGUACAUUGUACUUCCAAUAACACACUUACAGUGAUGUAAGAGUUUGCAUAGAACACGAUAAAAUCAACUUUUCCAAUUUUGUUAAUCAGAUAAUACUGUAAUUGUUUCACUAGACUAGUUUUUAAUUAGGAAAUUUAGAUUUUAUAUGUGUCCGUCUGAUAUUCAUCGGACAAUUUACAGUAUUUUGAUCUUUUAAACUACAAAAAUUACUGUACAAAUUUUGAACUUUUAACUAAUUAUAUAUGUAUUCAAUAUGUAGUAGUAUGUAGAAUAUAUUACGAAUUUUCUGGUGUGUUUUAUAAUUUGUAUUUGAUCGAUUUAAAAAAAAAAAAAAACUGAGAAGUCUUGGUGCUGAAGAGAAUCAUUGUAUGAAUUUAUUUAAAUAUUCAUUUGUUUGCUAGUGCCAUUAAAACUAUAUAUAUAAUAAAAAAUAUAUAAUUCCUUCAAUCAAAUUACCUGUAAUCAGAUUUUUUUUGUAUGUAAAUUUUGCUGCUUUUUGUUUUAAUGCUUAGCACCUGUUUUUGUUGUUUUAAAAUUCUGUCUGUGUGCUAGUGUCUGUGAUUAGGUAGUAGUCGUCGUCGUCAAAUAAUGUCCGUGUAUUAUUUUUAAUUAUUUUAUUCUUUAUAAGCAAUGUUAUGAUUGGUUUUUACAGGGUACAAACCUUAGGAAAGAAUAACGGAAAGUUUUUGAAUCUUUCCUUGUGAGUUAUGUUUUUCCAUGCCCCUAAGUAGGGAUGGAAAGCAACCAGCACAAACUGCCGUCUGUAAGAUAGUGUUAAGAAAUGUUCUAUGUUUUAAUACAUAGAAAUCGUGUUAGGCUUAGUUUGUUUUACAAACUGGGCACGUUUGUCGGAUAUUCUCAUAACGGUCGACUUUGCGAAUAUAAGUUUAGACACGUUCACUGUUAAGAAAUGAUCGGUGUGUUAUUAAAUAAUGUUAAAAUUAAUGGAGCUACGACUCCAUUACUGUCUUCAAAGAUGAUUAGUUAAGAAGUUAAUCUUAGAUUCUAUAUAGUAAUAAAAUGACUUCAAGCAAAGUAAUUAAUUGUACUUUGCAAUUUCUGUUCAGUAAUACCUUUUGCAAAAAUUAAUUUCAAAUUUGUGUGCCAUGUGCGGUUGGUAAAUUGUUUUCACCAGAUAAAUCAUUUAUAUAAUUGUACAAUAUGCAAGCUUUCUGUUGAAUUUCAAACACUUUACUGCAAUUGUAUGGAUGCAAAUCAUUUGUGAUUGUUAAAAAAAAUAAAAAAAAUAUGCCAUGACAAUCGCACAUGGAUUGUACGAAUUUUUUCUUCAUUUUUAUAUGUGGUAUUUGUUGUAUUUUAGUUUGAAAAUUUUGGAUAAAUGAGAACAGUUAAAUAAUUUGAGAACUGUCAUUUAUUGUGAAUGAAAAAUAAAAAAAAAGUGUUUAUGAAUGAAAAAACUAUGUUAAUAAACUUUGCAAUUUCUUA
rnacentral:lncRNA from 1 species